rnacentral:rRNA from 1 species
GACGAACGCUGGCGGCGUGCCUAAUACAUGCCAGUAGAACGCUGAAGCGAGGAGCUUACUCUUCUUGGAUGAGUUGCGAACGGGUGAGUAACGCGUAGGUAACCUGCCUUGUAGCGGGGGAUAACUAUUGGAAACGAUAGCUAAUACCGCAUAACAAUGGAUGACACAUGUCAUUUAUUUGAAAGGGGCAAUUGCUCCACUACAAGAUGGACCUGCGUUGUAUUAGCUAGUAGGUGAGGUAAUGGCUCACCUAGGCGACGAUACAUAGCCGACCUGAGAGGGUGAUCAGCCACACUGGGACUGAGACACGGCCCAGACUCCUACGGGAGGCAGCAGUAGGGAAUCUUCGGCAAUGGGGGCAACCCUGACCGAGCAACGCCGCGUGAGUGAAGAAGGUUUUCGGAUCGUAAAGCUCUGUUGUAAGUCAAGAACGGGUGUGAGAGUGGAAAGUUCACACUGUGACGGUAGCUUACCAGAAAGGGACGGCUAACUACGUG